rnacentral:rRNA from 1 species
UACAGAGGUCUCAAGCGUUUGUUCGGAUUCAUUGGGUUUAAAGGGAGCGUAGGUGGACUGAUAAGUCAGUGGUGAAAUCUUUGGGCUUAACCCAAAAAUUGCCAUUGAUACUGUUGGUCUUGAGUAUAGUUGCCGUUGGCGGAAUAUGACAUGUAGUGGUGAAAUACAUAGAGAUGUCAUAGAACACCGAUUGCGAAGGCAGCUGACGAAACUAUAACUGACACUGAGGCUCGAAAGUGUGGGGAUCAAACAGG